rnacentral:sRNA from 2 species
AUCUUCAUCUUCUCUUCAUCUUCUCUUCAUCUUCAUCU